ensembl:lncRNA
UCCUGCUGUGGUGUCUCUAGGGCCCUACGUGACUAUAGGCCAUGUCCCCUAACCGCUGAAACUAGGACUUAAGUGACUAUAGGCCAUGUCCCCUAACCUUUCAAACUAGGGCCUUAAGUGACUAUAGGCCAUGUAUGUCCCCUAACUGCUCAAACUAGGGCUUUAAGUGUGUGAGCUUUUGCAUUCUGGAUCAGUUGGAGGUUCUACAGGUGUUACAGAGUAGGGUACUACAGUAGAAAAGCAGGCAUGGAUAUAGCCAUGGCAACCAGGCAUGGAUACAGCCAUGGCAACCAGGCAUGUAUAGAGCCAUGGCAACCAGGCAUGUAUACAGCCAUGGCAACCAGGCCUGUAUAGAGCCAUGGCAACCAGGCAAGUCUCUGUAGUAGAAUAUGAUGAUCUAUAGCAGGGGUGGCUAACCAGUCCAGCUCAAAGAACCACAACAAAACCCAACACCAUUUCGAAGAGCCACACUGUUACCAGACCAUCAAUGGCAUGGAAUAGUUCAACAUAACACAAGGGGCGAAUCUAGGUUCCCACUUUUUGGGGGGUGGCGGGCUAAGCCUCUAGAUAAAACCUAUUAUUUUUCCUGUGACCCAGCAAGACUAGGGGGGUCUGGGGGCAUGCUCCCCCGUAAGACAUUUUUGAAAAUAACCUUUUAAAUAGUGUCCUCUAGUGGGUUUUAGGAAGAGAGAUCAAAUUUAGAUUUAAAAUAUGGCACAACAAUAAACAUAUUGAAGACAUCUGCUGAGAUAGGUGCUAAUUAUACUGUAGCAUGGUAGCGAUUUGCAGCUCGAGUGAAUAGGUUAACGUUGUAGGCUAGAGUUCACUAGCUAGUUAUAGCUGGCAAAGCUACUGAGUAGGGUAGCAUACCCACAGGAUCAAUGAACCGGCAUGAUAAA